UACGUAGGGCGCAAGGCGUUGUCCGGAAUUUAUUGGGCGUAAAGAGCUCGUAGGCGGUCUGUCGCGUCUGCCGUGAAAACCCGGAGGCUUCAACCUUGGGCUUGCGGUGGAUACGGGCGGACUUGAGGUAGGGUAGGGGAGAAUGGAAUUCCCGGUGUAGCGGUAGAAAUGCGCAGAUAUCGGGAGGAACACCGGUGGCGAAGGCGGUUCUCUGGGCCUUACCUGACGCUGAGGAGCGAAAGCGUGGGGAGCGAACAGGG
rnacentral:rRNA from 1 species